CUCCCUUGUCCCUCAUCUCAGCGAGGCCACCUCCACAACAUCGGAGCCAGACUGUCCCUGCCCUCCCCUCCUGGCCACCAGCCCUCCCCACAGCCACUCCAGCAAUCCCACAUCCACUUUGGCACAGUGACCCUCCAAUUCGGGGAAGGUCCUGGAUCCUUCUCUGCUCCCCUCCAAGCCUUCCUGCCCCACUGCCUCCCCCCUUCCGCUGCCACAGCCUGGUUCCUGGUCUUGCACCCCCCCUGCCCAUCAUGGCCCUUAGGGUUCCCUUUGAAUUUCCAUCCCAGCACAGUAAGAACCCGGGGCCCUGACGUUCUGUUCUCUCCUAAGUGGCAGUUGGACUCUCCCCAUGACCCCGCAAGUGUACGUGCUGACCUGUCUCCACGCACAGAGAAUGUUCCAGACUGUGCUCACCUGGGUCUCCAUCAGCUCUUCCCCGCUGCAGCCAGGCUCUGAACACCUGGGAGAUCACCUGAGGGCUGGGAGGGCACCGUGCCUGUGGCUACAUUUGUGGCAGCGUGUGGGACAGCACAGUUACGGAGAGUAGGUGGAGGCCCUGGAGAGCCUGAGCAGGAGGACACGGCAUGACAUAUGCUGGGAAGGGCGCCCUACGCGGCCACGCGGGGAGCUGCAGGGGUGUGCACAGAAGCGGGAGCUCACAGACCUUGUGCAGGAAAGAUUCAAAACAAGGCAUCAAGGCAUGCGAGAGCUCCAAGGUAAAGAUCGCUCAGUGCAUAUUUAGGUCCUGAAGGGCCUACCUAUGAGAUGGCCACCAGGGGAGAGGGGCAGUGACCGUGAAGAAAUCCGCCCACACACGUGGAAGAUCCCUGACCUCAGCCAAGUUGUGCCCUGGGUGGAAUCGCCCUCAGCAGUUCUGUCCAGGACCAAGUAGCUUUCAGGGCCAGGCUGGCCAUUGGUGCUGUCCAGGGUGCUGAACGCCGCCGGGACACCAGGGUGGAGACAGUACCCUCAGCCCACAGGUGGACACGUGCGGGGAUCCAAUAGCAGAACUGACUACUGUUUUAGUGUUUCCUUCAUGCCCUAAAUCCAACCGGUAAGAGCUUGAAAAUACAGGAUGGAGAGAUUUUCUGACUAAAAUGAUGCUUCUGAGCUGAAGCCUGGGGAGAUAGUACUUUAUGCUGAAUGUCCUCAGAGAUAGUGCAGAUUCUGAGACACAGCACAUCACCAGCUUCACUCAGAAGUCUGCAGGCUGAAGAUCCGUGGCGGUGGGAACAAUGCUGAUGUGGUUAUCAACCUGCUCAGCAAAUGUUUAUCCACUCCUCCCGAUCAUAACACUGUGCUGGGCAGACAUUCAGGGGCUCGCAAAGAGACGUAAGGUGGGGUCUGAAUCUGGAGGGUUAGAGACAAUCGUGAGUCAACAUUAAGUAUAGAAUACUAAAGAUGAGGUGACACAUAUUACAAUACUGUCACCAUCUAGCUGGUAAAUUUAGGAAGUAACCGGUUUUGUCAGGAACUGGCAUCCUGGGAGCUCGCUGCGGAGUCUGGGGUUGAGAAGUGUUAACAGGACACUUUCAUGUUACGCCUAGUUUCCUAUCACAAUCCCAUGUCUCCAUGAAGGUUAACCUAAGACUUAUUGUUUUUACUGGAGCUUUGGAAGAGGGUCAUCCAUGAGCAGUAUUAGCCUCAAGGAAAGGACAAAAAUGUGUUAGUACUUAGUCAUAGUGUCAGAUAGCAACCAUGUUUCUCUGCAUGUGUGUGUGUCUCUCUCGGCCACAUGCAUGCAAUCUUCUGCUUCUUUCUAUGUGCAAAUGUCGAUAUUCUGUACCUCACACUGGCUCUCCCCCAUGGACCCCAGGCACUGACUUCUGUAGAGAUUCACACUUCCAACAUAAUGCACGAGCACAUAAUAGGUAAUGUCCUUCCCUCUUGGUUCGAGUCUAGAGUUCUCCAUUUGGUGCAGUGAUGUCAGCAGUCUGGCUCAGGCCAAUCACCACAGUGAGGAGAAGGCUCUGUUGAGAGGGUUGCAAUUACGUGGUUGGGAGACGCCUCUUCCGUGGUGUCUGUUCUGGGGCCACUGGAUGAUAAACAGUGGCUGCACGAGUGAGACAUUACCGAGCACCUGCAUGUGCCCCUGACCCAGCGUUUUUACGAGUGAGAUCCCGUUUCGUUCUUAAAACAUCAUUGCGAAGUGCCUCAAUUUUACAAGUGAUUGAUAUUCAGAGAAAAAGUUAAUUUUCCAUGCUGAUUCGCCCGCUAGGUGGUGGGACUGAGAUUCUCAUCCAGCUCUUUCUUUUAGUGCCAUCUGCCUCCUAUGCGGCCAGUGACAACAAGCACAGUUAUUAAGCCUCUGCUUUUAAUGGUCUUCCUAGGACACUUGCAAGUUGUUCUUUUACAUAAUGGCAUUUCCAAAUUGCACUCACAGGUCUCCUUUGUGAUUUUUCAUCUGCUUUCUUGUGUACAUGGAUGGCUUGCUUGAAACCCUUUAACAUAUUUUCAUGGGCUACAGAGGGGUAAACAGUGUCAACCACCUCUAUGAACAGCAUGUUUCUGUCACAAGGCGAGCCAAAGUGUGUGACCCCUGACCUUUGGGAGGAAAGAUGAGCAAACACACACACGCACACUCACACACAAACACACAUACAAAUACACAUACAAACACACACCCGUGCACACCCACAUAUACACAUUCAUACACAUAUGCACACACAUACACACAAACAC